UUUCCGUAGGUGAACCUGCGGAAGGAUCAUUAUUGAAUGAAACACUUCUGGCUUUCUGCUGUCGUGCUGGCCCUUUGGGCAAUGUGCACACGGCUCUGGUCACUUGUUUCUUCUGUUCCACCUGUGCACUGCCUGUAGACACGCUGUGUCUAUGAUAUUUGUUAACACACAACAAUGUUAGUUGGCAUGUUAUAUAUAAUAAUAAAAUAUACAACUUUCAACAACGGAUCUCUUGGCUCUC
rnacentral:misc_RNA from 1 species